UACGUAGGGUGCGAGCGUUGUCCGGAUUUAUUGGGCGUAAAGAGCGUGUAGGCGGCCUGACAGGUCAGCUGUGAAAACUCGAGGCUCAACCUCGAGACGUCGGUUGAAACCAUCUGGCUAGAGUCCGGGAGAGGAGAGUGGAAUUCCUGGUGUAGCGGUGAAAUGCGCAGAUAUCAGGAAGAACACCCGUGGCGAAAGCGGCUCUCUGGAACGGUACUGACGCUGAGGCGCGAAAGCGUGGGGAGCGAACAGG
rnacentral:rRNA from 1 species